UACGUAGGGUCCGAGCGUUGUCCGGAGUUACUGGGCGUAAAGCGCGCGCAGGCGGCUCCUCAGGCACGACGUGAAAGCCCCGGGCUCAACCCGGGAGGGUCGUCGUGAACCGUGGAGCUUGAGGCCGGUAGAGGUGGGUGGAACUCCUGGUGGAGUGGUGAAAUGCGUAGAGAUCAGGAAGAACACCCGUGGCGAAGGCGGCCCACUGGGCCGGUACUGACGCUGAGGCGCGAAGGCGUGGGGAGCGAACGGG
rnacentral:rRNA from 2 species